GUUGCCAGCAGAAUAUAGAGAAUACAGAGAGGGAGAGUGAUUUCUGGAGAGGAGAGGAGAGGGCAGAGGGAGGAGCGCCUGCUGGUGAGUAUUUUCUUUUGGCUGUGAAUCCUUGAUCUCGCCCCCUUUGAAUUGGUUGCUGCUGCUGCAAUGGGAUCUGAAGGGGAAGGUGAAGGCAGCAAGGGGAAUAAGCAAAACGGAACAGAGAUUGAGGAGUGGAUCAUGAAGAUGUGUGCUGGAUCAUCGUGUGCUCACUGUUGUCUCUGUUUCAGUUAAGCCACGACACGACCAAGCAACCGAUGUGGCGCAUCCACCAUGGCUACAGUUCGCAUGUGAGGUGCACGUGAGACAAAAGGGCGAUAGAUUUUAAGCGAAGAACCCCUCCCAGAAGGCUAGAAACUCACAUUUCCUUCUCUUUCCUCCUCGUGUUUCCUUGUUGCCUCCGGAGGUGGAAGGGGAGUGGACUGGCGAGGGGUGGCUGAUCGAUGAUGAGUGGCGACACUUCUAGAGUGAGUUCACCUGGUGAAAGACGAAGGACUCCGGCGCCUAGUCGUCCGGGGCCUUUGCUGGCGGCAGAGGAUGAAGAUGGUCGCAAGAUUGUGGCGGAAGGGAGAACCUGCCCCCAUGUAUGGGUUUGGUAAUGAAGAGUUUAGUAUAGAGGUGCAUCAUGGGAUUUUUUUCAUUAGGCAAGGGGAGAAACGAGCUUACAUUGAUGAGAAAAUUAAUUGGUUUGAUCAGUGUGAGGCAGAUACUUGGUCUCCUCUUUGGAUAGAUGAUUUUCUUUGGAUAGAUGAUUUCAUUACUCAGCUUGGGUAUGACAAGAAUAGCCACCUAAAGGUAUACUGGUUGUUGCCAGCGAAGACUCUUGCAUAUG